CCAAAACGUAUAAACAGAACAAGUAAUCACAGACCAUUUCCUGACAGAGACUUUUUUAUUGGCUGAGAAAAAAAGCUGGAAACCUUUGAUGAACACAUCUGUUUCAGUCAUCUUCUGAAUCAAGUAAGAAGAUGCGGCAUUCUCCGUUAUCAGAAAAGAAUCUUUAGCUUACAAAAGAUUCUAUGAGGUUAAUACUGUGAGGUAUUAGCAAAUUGAGGUGGAACCACGAUUCUUUCGUCCUCUUG
rnacentral:ncRNA from 1 species